rnacentral:rRNA from 1 species
UACAUAGGUCUCAAGCGUUGUUCGGAUUCAUUGGGCGUAAAGGGCGCGUAGGCUGCGGGGCAAGUCGGGUGUGAAAUCUCAGAGCUCAACUCUGAAACUGCACUCGAUACUGCUUUGCUUGAGGACUGGAGAGGAGAUUGGAAUUCACGGUGUAGCAGUGAAAUGCGUAGAUAUCGUGAGGAAGACCAGUGGCGAAGGCGGAUCUCUGGACAGUUCCUGACGCUGAGGCACGAAGGCCAGGGGAGCAAACGGG